rnacentral:rRNA from 1 species
UGGGGAAUUUUGGACAAUGGGCGAAAGCCUGAUCCAGCAAUGCCGCGUGUGUGAAGAAGGCCUUCGGGUUGUAAAGCACUUUUGUCCGGAAAGAAAUCCUUGGCUCUAAUACAGUCGGGGGAUGACGGUACCGGAAGAAUAAGCACCGGCUAACUACGUGCCAGCAGCCGCGGUAAUACGUAGGGUGCAAGCGUUAAUCGGAAUUACUGGGCGUAAAGCGUGCGCAGGCGGUUUGCUAAGACCGAUGUGAAAUCCCCGGGCUCAACCUGGGAACUGCAUUGGUGACUGGCAGGCUAGAGUAUGGCAGAGGGGGGUAGAAUUCCACGUGUAGCAGUGAAAUGCGUAGAGAUGUGGAGGAAUACCGAUGGCGAAGGCAGCCCCCUGGGCCAAUACUGACGCUCAUGCACGGAAGCGUGGGGAGCAAACAGGAUUAGAUACCCUGGUAGUCCACGCCCUAAACGAUGUCAACUAGUUGUUGGGGAUUCAUUUCCUUAGUAACGUAGCUAACGCGUGAAGUUGACCGCCUGGGGAGUACGGUCGCAAGAUUAAAACUU